rnacentral:rRNA from 1 species
CAUUCGAGGUGAGGACUCUGGGUCACCUCCCACCCGUGUUUAUCGUACCUUGUUGCUUCGGCGGGCCCGCCGCAAGGCCGCCGGGGGGCAUCUGCCCUCUGGCCCGCGCCCGCCGAAGACACCAUUGAACGCUGUCUGAAGAUUGCAGUCUGAGCAAUUAGUUAAAUAACUUAAAACUUUCAACAACGGAUCUCUUGGUUCCGGCAUCGAUGAAGAACGCAGCGAAAUGCGAUACGUAAUGUGAAUUGCAGAAUUCAGUGAAUCAUCGAGUCUUUGAACGCACAUUGCGCCCCCUGGUAUUCCGGGGGGCAUGCCUGUCCGAGCGUCAUUGCUGCCCUCAAGCACGGCUUGUGUGUUGGGCUCCGUCCUCCUUCCGGGGGACGGGCCCGAAAGGCAGCGGCGGCACCGCGUCCGGUCCUCGAGCGUAUGGGGCUUCGUCACCCGCUCUGCAGGCCCGGCCGGCGCUUGCCGACACAUCAAUCUUUUUUCCAGGUUGACCUCGGAUCAGGUAGGGAUACCCGCUGAACUUAAGCAUAUCAAUAAGCGGAGGAA